rnacentral:rRNA from 1 species
GACGAACGCUGGCGGCGUGCCUAAUACAUGCAAGUAGGACGCAAUUGCGAACGGGUGAGUAACGCGUAGGUAACUGCCUAGUAGCGGGGGAUAACUCUUGGAAACGAUAGCUAAUACCGCAUACUAGUAGAUGGACCUGCGUUGUAUUAUCUAGUAGGUAUGGUAAUGGCCUACCUAGGCAACGAGACAUAGCCGACCUGAGCGGGUGAUCGGCGAAACGGGGACCGAGACACGGCCCAGACUCCUACGGGUGGCAGCAGGAGGGAAUCUGCUGCAAUGGGGGGAACCCUGACCGUGCAACGCCGCGUGAGUGAUGAAGUUUUUCGGAUCGUAAAGCUCUGUUGUUAAGGAAGCGGUACUUAACCAGAAAGGGACGGCUAACUACGUGCCAGCAGCCGCGGUAAUAC